rnacentral:piRNA from 1 species
UGUACUUACUGAGCCUUAUCAGGGUUCUAA